rnacentral:rRNA from 1 species
AUUGAACGCUGGCGGCAGGCUUAACACAUGCAAGUCGAGCGGAGAUGAGGUGCUUGCACCUUAUCUUAGCGGCGGACGGGUGAGUAAUGCUUAGGAAUCUGCCUAUUAGUGGGGGACAACAUUCCGAAAGGAAUGCUAAUACCGCAUACGUCCUACGGGAGAAAGCAGGGGAUCUUCGGACCUCGCGCUAAUAGAUGAGCCUAAGUCGGAUUAGCUAGUUGGUGGGGUAAAGGCCUACCAAGGCGACGAUCUGUAGCGGGUCUGAGAGGAUGAUCCGCCACACUGGGACUGAGACACGGCCCAGACUCCUACGGGAGGCAGCAGUGGGGAAUAUUGGACAAUGGGGGGAACCCUGAUCCAGCCAUGCCGCGUGUGUGAAGAAGGCCUUAUGGUUGUAAAGCACUUUAAGCGGGGAGGAGGCUACUGAGACUAAUACUCUUGGAUAGUGGACGUUACUCGCAGAAUAAGCACCGGCUAACUCUGUGCCAGCCGCCGCGGUAAUAC